GACGUAGGGCGCGAGCGUUGUCCGGAUUUAUUGGGCGUAAAGAGCUCGUAGGCGGCUUGUCGCGUCGACCGUGUGAAAAUCCCGCGGCUCAACUGCGGGUCUGCAGUCGAUACGGGCAGGCUAGAGUUCGGUAGGGGAGACUGGAAUUCCCGGUGUAGCGGUGAAAUGCGCAGAUAUCGGGAGGAACACCGGCGGCGAAGGCGGCACUCUGGGCUGGUACUGACGCUGAGGAGCGAAAGCGUGGGGAGCAAACAGG
rnacentral:rRNA from 1 species